AUUGAACGCUGGCGGCAUGCCUUACACAUGCAAGUCGAACGGUAACAGGUCUUCGGAUGCUGACGAGUGGCGAACGGGUGAGUAAUACAUCGGAACGUGCCCGAGAGUGGGGGAUAACGAGGCGAAAGCUUUGCUAAUACCGCAUACGAUCUCAGGAUGAAAGCAGGGGACCGCAAGGCCUUGCGCUCACGGAGCGGCCGAUGGCAGAUUAGGUAGUUGGGGGGAUAAAAGCUUACCAAGCCGACGAUCUGUAGCUGGUCUGAGAGGACGACCAGCCAAGCUGAGACUGGGACACGGCUCAGACCCCUACGGGAGGAAGCAGUGGGGAAGUUUGGACAAGGGGCGCAAGCCUGAUCCAGCCAUGCCGCGUGCAGGAGGAAGGCCUUCGGGUUGUAAACUGCUUUUGUACGGAACGAAAAGACUCUGGUUAAUACCUGGGGUCCAUGACGGUACCGUAAGAAUAAGCACCGGCUAACUGCGUGCCAGCAGCCGCCGUAAUAC
rnacentral:rRNA from 1 species